rnacentral:lncRNA from 1 species
GCUACGACGGCUGCAAAAAGGCAUGGAGAAGAAGACAGAAACCUGUUUUUUUUUUUACGAAUAACCUAUUGUUAGUUCUGUUGUUGUUGUUGCUAUCCAAGAACACUUAGAUGAGAUGGCGUGGGUCUCUUCUAGCUUAACCAAGUCUUUGGUCUGACUUGGACAUGCACCAGCGUUAAAACUCUGCUUACUCUUGGAGAGAGUUUGUCAUUCAUUUUGGUCCCACGAGUGUUGUUGUUGCUGUUAGUUCAGAAUUAAUCUCACCCAUUGAAUUUUUAAUUGUCAUGUGUCAUUCAUCCAUAAAGAUACCGGGGUAAAAUGGAGAAUAAGAAAAUGGAGUGAUCUAAACUCCACCAUUAUUAAUAACACAGACACGGAGGUGAUGUGUUGAGUCAAAUCAAAUCUGAAGCGAAUAACACGAAACUAUAUUGGAUUCAGAGUUCAGACAAAGUGUUUGUUUCCAUCCUUCCUUCCGCGUAUCAAACGGGCAAUUUUCACAAGUCAGUCAAUUAUUUCAUACCAAAUGACUCCUUCAUAAAAUAGCCUAUAGCCAUUGACCAAUGACAUACAUAGUAGAAAUUAACAAGUUUCUUCUUCUUCUUUUAUUGAUUUUUUCGUCCAAAUAAUAUACAAUAUUCAUUCACAGGUUGGUUGGUUUGUUGGUUUUAUAUAUUAUAUAUACAUCAAUCAAUAUUGAAAUCAUAUAAUUGCUUACAAUUUUUCAGUUUCCCUGACAGCAACAUAAACAAAAGUAGAACAUANNNN